CUUUCUGUUUAUUGAUGGUGGUUUCAGAUUGUCUUUUCAUCUGUGCGCGUGUCUCCUUCGGUUACUUCAGUAGUGGAUUUGAUGACUGCCCUCCUUUCAGGUGUGUGAGUUGAAGCUGUUUUGUAGCAAACAGAUCGUCUAGCUUCGCUUGGGGCUUGACAACUUGGCGGGUUGGUUUGAGUAAUGUGCAGUUCCCUGUACUUCAAUUUAGCAGCAGGGUAUAUGAAGGCUGUGUAUCCUGGCCUGUGAACGGAUUAUAAAGCACAUUUAUCUUCGUUGGAGCUGGGGUCCCACGGGUGAAGGAUCUUUUUUGGUGGUGGUGCUGCUUCAACGUUUGCCGUGGGACACUUUUUGGAGUGUUUGGGUGUGUGAUCUGAGUGCACGGUGGGAUGUGUGAUCUGAGUGCACGGUGAGGGGUGUGAUCUGAGUGCACGGUGGGGUGUAUGGAAGUGUGCUUUUUGGAUAAUUAGCACUCGUAAUCACUCCUGUGGGUAACCUCAGUCCUGGAAGUUGGUGUAUUUUGUUUUUGUUUAUUUUGUGUUGUGUAAAUUUGGUUUUUAUGUAACGUGUUUUCUUGUGGUUCUGUUUUAUUAUUUGAAUCAGUUACCAGUCACUGUAUCUUUAACAGUGAGGGUAUUACUUCCUUUUUGUUGUAAGGUUUAUUUUUGUGAUUUUGUGUGAAUUUCUGUCUUUUAUGUAAUUUGUUUUGUGUAUUUUUGUUAUUGAACCGUCAUUGGAGAGAGGUGCCAGGAGUGGCACCUGAUCAUUGAGGCUAUUUUAAGUGAUUUUUCUAUUUUGUUGAAAUUCAUUGUGAAUACAUUUUGUAAUUUUAUGAUACCUUCCUGUUUCCUGCCUACCUUUUUAUAAACAAAGCAAACCUGUGUGACCUAAUAAUAAACCUUGGGGUUUAUUUCUAUUUCCUGGGUGAACAUCCCCCAGGUGGUGUAGUCGAGUUUUCUACAAGUAGAUGAACUUGGGUUUGUGUGUUAAAACCUGUACCGCACCCCACCACACACAUAAUCCAAAAACCAACAGGCAGACAAACAAUAACGCAGACUUAACUGAAAUACCAAAUACAGGCAGGGUCAAAACUGGGAAGACUAACAUGGGAAACAGGGCAGGAUAGCUGCUCAGGCAUGCAACACACAUGCUGGGUGAGGCCUUAUAUAGUGAUGGAGAUACAAAAUGGCCACCGCAAUAAGUGCUAGUCCCAAAAUGGCCACCACCCCGGAAGUGCAAGUCAUGACAUAAAUGGCCAGGGAAGAAGUUGAAAGACCAAGCAGAAGAAGGCAUUCAAGGAAACAGGUGGUUGGAAGUGGUCUGCCAUGUGACAUAUUAUUUUUCUUUUUUCUGGUAUUACCCUGCUAUUUUCUCUACUACAUCACCCCUGUUGAUACCCCACUCCCCAAUCGCACACAAUCACCACUACAACAUGUGCACACCUCAGCUGAACUGUACAAAACAAAAUUCUAUAAUUAAUGGGAUAGUAUAAAAAUCUUAAAUUUUUCCAUACACCUUUUUCUGAUCUGUUUUAGAUGCACUGACUCAACAAAUGGGAGCAGAAGCAGUUUCGGAGUACGCAUAUCCAAAUGCUGUCCAGAAAUGGCUCUGAUACACUCCAGAUCGUGCGGGUGGGACUGGACGACAGACAGCUGCACCGGUUCCUCCAGUGUCUCUGACAACCAACUGAUUCUUUUUUAAAAUGUUUAAACCUGUUGUAGUGCAUUUGUUGUCCCUUUUGUAAACAUUCUGAAAAAUAAAGAAUUUAUAGACAUGCUUAUUGAAAUUGCUGUUAUUUAUAUAUUUCAGAUUUUUCUCCUGGCUGUAUAUAAAGUAGGAUUAGUUUUCACAGUACUGGGGAGGACAAUGGGUAAACCAGGGUUAGGAACCU